GCUCUUCUGGUACUUACCAGAAGCCGAAUUCUUUAUACUGACCCUAUAGAAAGGGGAGCCACAAUCAAUCCACCUCAUAUUCACCUCAGUCAGGCACUCUGCCUGAUCUAUAUUAUGAAUGGGGGGACAUGG